rnacentral:rRNA from 1 species
UACGAAGGGGGCUAGCGUUGUUCGGAAUUACUGGGCGUAAAGGGUGCGUAGGCGGCGCGGUAAGUCGGGUGUGAAAUCUUGGAGCUUAACUCCGAAACUGCAUUCGAUACUGCCGUGCUUGAGGACUGGAGAGGAGACUGGAAUUUACGGUGUAGCGGUGAAAUGCGUAGAUAUCGUAAGGAAGACCAGUGGCGAAGGCGGGUCUCUGGACAGUUCCUGACGCUGAGGCACGAAGGUCAGGGGAGCAAACGGG